GCCCCUAUAGCUCAGUUGGUUAGAGCUACGGACUUUUAAUCCGCAGGUCGCCGGUUCGAGCCCGGCUGGGGGCACCA
rnacentral:tRNA from 1 species